rnacentral:rRNA from 1 species
GCUUAUGGCCAUAUCAUGUUGAAAAUACCAGUUCUCAUCCAAUCACUAAAGUUAAACAAUGUCAAGUCCAGUUAGUACUAAGACGGGUGACAGCCUGGCAAACCUUGGAACUGUAAGUA